CAGUAUGAACAUCAAGCUUUUGAGACAUUUAAUAAAAAAUAAAAUGAUCUAAUAGUUAAUAGAAAACCUCAAUAAGGUUCCAAAUUCUUGACACAAAGCGGUUUUAUAGUAAACACACGUAUGUUCAACUAACAGAACUAUUAUAAUUAUAUGAUGAGUUCUGGUGUUUUGAAGUGGUUUAGCAUGAGGUACUUUUCCAUAGUCAGUGUGUUACCUGCAGCAGGUGGAGGUCAGUGCACCCCCAGUUGGGAGAGGCAGAUAGUGAAGCAGAGCAAUGCACUGUUAUAGAUGGGCCGGCAGAAAAGUUCUUUGCCACAUAAAAAAAGCUCCAAGUGCGAUAAUAAGAAUAUGUUCACCACUUUUCCUCGCUGACAGCCUCUUUCUUUGGCACUAAUCAUAGAACUUUGUACACAUGAGCCUGUGUUACUGCAGACCAGCUGUUUGGGUCAGAGUUACAGCAGCAGCCCUGACAAACACAAGCAUGCACCAACUUUGACAUAUUUGGCAACGUGAAAAUUUAUUUCAGUCUGAUCUCACAACAUUAGGACCCACACAGCUGAUUCUGGUGUAACACAGUGUGUCCACAGUAGUGCAUCAUCUCCUGUCUGCUUUUCCAGACUGCAGAAUACCCCAACUUUAUUUCAUUUAGAACAUCUUUUUCUGUACCUUCAGUUUUCAGGUCAGUCACUAAUUAUUCACUGGACAGAUGUGAGCAGCUGUAUGACCUGUUAACCUCUGUCCUUUUCUCUCUUUGUCCAGGAAAUUCCCUUUAUUGGAUUCUGGUUUUACCUUUUAUAAUCUUUGGAGUGCUCAUACUGAUGCUAACCAGGAAGAUGAUGAAGAAACAACCGAUGGUUGUUUCCCCACCAGAAGAUGCAGGAGAGAGUGCAGGUCCUGAUGGAGUCUACCAAUCACUCCACCCAGUUACGAUGGAUGAAGACCAGGUCUAUAGCACUCUCUCACCCACCAGAGGGGAAUGUGACUCCACAGUUAAGUCACAGAUUGAAUGAGUGCUGCAGAAGGAGCUGUUGCAUCAUGUCUGUGGAGUUUUUUAAGUUGGAGCAUUUACACAUGCUGGCAGACUUCAGUUGCAUGUGGUCAGGCACACUUAGUGCUGCACGGCUGUGGUUUGUGUUAAAGUGUUAAAUUCACACCCUCACACUGCAUCCUGUAUGAAUUCUCUCUGUAUAUCUGUAUAUCUAUCUCUGUAAUCUGAAGAAAUAAUAUAUUCCUAUUUUAUA